UCGCUGGAUUCGGAGGUGACCAUAAAGCCAGUCUCUGAUGCCUACACACAGACUAUACAGUGUGAUGGAAUACAGGCAAAACUUGAAUGAUUAUGAAAUAGGAUUCUAUCCACUGGCUGGCAUGCUGGAAAGCUUUAUGGUCCUCUUGGCACGUGCUACAGUGGGGACUCACAACAGCUCUAUGACAUCAUUGGAAGAGUGAAGUAAAGUACUGGAUGUUUAACUGUAAAGGAGCUUCUUCAAAUGGGAGAAAAGAUGGGAGAUACAUGCCAACAGUGAGUCCAUGCAGAAGUGGCAUCAUAACUGGUGACUAGAAGUGGAAUAAGAGAUUCUUCCUGCAUCACGACUGCUAUAGCACACAGUCAGAAGGAGCAAGUGACUCACUCACACAGCUGCUUGGAGCUACAAUGCCACACAGCCUUUGUCGACCAGCUAUUCCCUGUGAAAGAAGCCUAGUCAGUUUGACCUCUCUUCUGCAUCUUCUAAACUCUUGGCCAAGAUCUUCUGGAAGAUGCUUUCUCACAUCUGAUUUCCUACAAAGUGCCUGCCACAAUCUCGCCCAUCUCUCGCCAACUGGUAUACUGUCUCUGCUUUCCAAAAUUCUAGAUACUCAACAUCAACUCCUACAGAAGACAAAGAAUUAAUAAGAAGUAUGUCCAGAAGACACUAGCCCCACUCUUCCAACCCCAUCACUGUGCUCAGUAGAUUCCCUGGUUUAUAAUCCAACUGGAAGAACUGAGGCAGGCACUCCUGUAUGCUGGCUCCCCAUAUAUGACCAACCACUCACAUAUAAGGUCGGAUGCUCUCCUUUCUCUCUGUCAUCAAGCCACUGAAUUCAUCAGGAAGGAGUCCUCUAUCAGCUCAAGUGCUUUGAGCUCAUGUGCUCUGGGCUCCCCACUAUUUAGUGGGCAGCUCCAGCAGGCAUUGAAAUAGGCUCUUAUCUCAACUUGAACCCGAAACCUGUGACUCUACUUUAUUCUCCAAAUACAGAAGCCCAAAAACCAAGAAGUAGGAAGGUAAUGUCAGUGAUGUCAGUGGUACAGCACUGCGCAUGGUGUAUGGAUGCAUCCCUCUGCGUUGUAAAGAAGAAAAGUCUUCACUCAGAAGUGAGGUUAUGAUGAGUUCCCGGUACCAUGAAAGAUGUCUCACAAUUGCCUGUAAUUCCAACUCCAGGAGAUCGGAUGCCCUCAUCUGACCUCUUCAGUCAAUUCUACAUAUAUGAUCACACACAGAGAGACAUGCAUGCUGUCACAUAAAUAAAGACAAAUCUGAAAGACAAGA
rnacentral:sRNA from 1 species